CUUUUAGAUCAGAUUUUUGGAUAUGACCCACUUUUUAAGCCCAUUAAUGAAAAAUUCCCGCUUAUACCUUCGCUCGUUUUCCCUUUCCCGCUGCUCACGAAAUCCCAGCCCUAAUAUCAGAGCAUGGAAAUUGAACAGCAAACAACCCAAUAAAGGAGUAGGCGACGACGACGGCGACGGCUGCGUUCCAGACGGUGGAUUUCGGCGGCUGCGUUCCAAACGGUGGUAAGUUUAUCAUCAAUCUCUAAUUGUUGAAAUCCUAAGUCUCCGCCGCACUCCAUCCGCCUUAAUCUCCGACGCCACUCCGAAAACGGCUGGAGAGGCUGCAAGAACUGCUGGAGUGGGAGCUUAUUCAAAUAGAUUAGGAGAACCUCCUAGCCAGGUUGAAGUUGGAGAUGUGGUCAGAGGUGACUGAGACAUUAGGGUCUUCAUAUGGGACAACGGGGGUGGCGUGCUUAUGGCUAUAAUGGCGGUGACCGGAGGUUUGAUUCCAGUGUAAAGGAGUAGGCGACGGCGACGAUAUAUCCUCAAGUCGGCGGCUGCGUUCCAGACGGUGGAUUACGACAGCUGAGUUCUAGACGGUGGUGAAACACAUACAAAUAUAACUAUGGAAGAAAAGCUGAAAACAUAGAGUCCCGUUUCGAACAAUUUCAACAAGAGCGCGAAAAAGAGCGGGCCGAUCAAGCUGCAUGACAAAAAACUAUGGAAGAAAAGCUGAAAAACAUCGGAAAUAAGUAAAAACUCUGGUCUUGUUAAGUAUUGAAAUGUUAAGAGUUCGGAUUAGUUUUGAAUGCUUGUAAUUUGGAUUUUUUGUGCGUUUUGGAAUAUUUUAGAAUUUCUACAAUGUUUGGAAUGUUUCAGAAUGUUGCUUUAAUAUUUUUGGAAGAUUUUAAAAUUUUGCUGCAA